GCCGAAACUACUUUUACCCACAGCGAAAAAUGGCGUCCUUAGACGGAGGACCACGAAAGAGAAGGAAAACAGACGACGAAUUGUUGGAAUCAUUUCACGAUUCGUUCUUGUGUCAAAACCCCUCAUUUGCAGACGCUAUCUACAGGUUCAAGGACAUCACUACAGGCCUGGGUGCAUUCACUAUCGGGUCUUGUAACGCUGCGGACCCUGACAACGGUUGCAGCUUCAACAAGGCAGUCUGUACGAUCAAACCCACUCAGCGUGUAUAUGCCUUUGCGAAUUUUUUCGUUGAUGCCUUCAAAAUGUUGAAGAAUUUUGUCACCAAAAAAGAAAUUCCAUCAGACAGUGAAAUGAAGAUGUUUCUCCUGUGUCUCAUCCGGUUCUUGGUCAACACAGGUAAUCUUUGAGAAAACCAAGAGGGUCUAUCACAGGCAGAAGAUUGCACUAAUGACACAGAGUUGGCUGUGCUGCUGACCUUCCAUUUGUUUACUCGCCUCUCAGCAUCUCCCCGUUUUAUUGUUGAUGACCAAAAGCCUGCCCAGCCCAAAGCUUGUCCAUGUAGGAGGAGACACGGACAAGUAACUUAUGGAGACACAAGUAUAGGUAAGUGGCAUUGCCUGGAAAUUUUAUUAUUGACAAAAAUAUAUCAACAGGUUUCAUAAAAUUUCAUAAAUCCUUUGACAGGGAUAAAUCAACAUUGAUGAAUGCAGAAAAUUAGAGAAUUACCAGUCAAUAAAAUCCUGUCUAAUCCACCCAUAUGUUCAGCGAAGCUUUGUAGCAUGUAGCGACAUUGUAUAUUUGAUCAGAUUAGUGAGUUAGUUUUGCUGUUUAUCACUAUAGUAUUUUACUGUUUUAACUGCAGUAACACUCUGACAUGUACUAUCAUACAGACAAGGAAACUUUGUAGCAGAGCUUGGGGGGGAUGGUGACAUCAGUGACCGAGUUGUAUAACGAUCUCAGAUAUGACCUUGGUCAAUCAUUUUCUAAAGGUUUUUAGUUCUAUGAUGUUCUUGGCACUUAACAUAUUCAAUCAAGCUCACCAUUACCUCAUUUUGAUGCCAAUUUAAAAGUAGUUAUUUGUUGAGCAUAAAAGUCUUAGUCAGGUGAGCAAUAUGACCUUUGUGCCUCAUUUGUAAGUGCUCAUCAACUUGCACUUAUUGUAAACAGAUGGAUUCACUCCAGUCUAUAAUGUACAGAUGGAGUGUGGCUCGGGCAUGUGUGUACUAGGUGUAUAUUUGGUAAAAACAUUAAAUAAAAUUAUUUGUAACAGAACAGCUGAUGAUAAUGAGUCAACAUUUCUUAAGCCAGAAAAUGAGAGCUGUCACACUAAAUAUUGGUCCCAUAUUAUUUAGAAAAUCUUAUUUAUAAUUUUUCAUCGUUGACAAAUAUGAAUUUAAAAAAAAAAGGGUUCUAUAGUUUGACAGUUUUACAAAAUUCAUGAAAAUGUUUGAUUAGCUAAUAUUUCCUUCUUUAAAAAAACCAAUAUAAAAUCAGAAUUUCUUAUUACAAAUAUGUUAAUGGAAUUUUUUUCAGUUAAAUUAUGAAAUUCAAUUUAAUCGGUGAGAAUGAGUUAAAUGUUUGUCCUAAGUCAGGUGAAAUGCUGACAAUGCAUAUAAAUAUACUUUUCAUUGAAAAUUCUGAAUAAAAGGUAUAUAUUUUAUCUUAGGCAAUCCAGUUGUUUGGCAUGGUUGUUUGGAUUUGAUCAUGGAGGGCUCGAAUGUCUCUGUAGACAUGCUGGAUCAGGACUCCGAGGCGAGUAGCAAUAGGGAGUCUGGACGGACAGUGACACAAAGGAUGCUGGACAUGACAGACAACUCCAUGGGGAGUGGCUUAGUGCAGCUAGCGGCCAAGACAAUCGUCCAGUCUUUCUAUUACAGACAGGUGUAUCCCGAGCGGGAGAACUCGCUGAUUCCUGGUGUCGGAGUGUCCAGCACAGGACUCGUCUUCUACUUUUACGACUCUGUUCAUGACGUGCUCCUCGGAAGUUCACGCUUUCCUUUAGCAGCUUUUUCUCCAUUUGAGAUAAAUUUUACAGCAGUUAUUGCACUUUGGAUGGUGUUGAACCACAAGUAUCUGUGUAAUGGACUGUCCUCUGUAGAUAUAGAGAAGGUGCCUAAGGCAGGCUUUGUUACAGCCGCUCGGAACAAGCUUCACAUUUACAGGGCGGAGCUAAGACAGGGUGGCGUAAACUUUCGUCUCUUCACUGCUAACAGUCUGGACCCACUUUCAUUUGUUAAUUCAAAAUUCAUUUUGUCAGACGUAUUAAAAGAUGUGUAAUGAAAACAGAAUACAAACAUUUCAGUAUUAAUUGGUGAAUAAAUACACUGUUGUAUGAACUU
rnacentral:misc_RNA from 1 species